rnacentral:rRNA from 1 species
GACGAACGCUGGCGGCGUGCCUAAUACAUGCAAGUAGAACGCUGAAGGAGGAGCUUGCUUCUCUGGAUGAGUUGCGAACGGGUGAGUAACGCGUAGGUAACCUGCCUGGUAGCGGGGGAUAACUAUUGGAAACGAUAGCUAAUACCGCAUAAGAGUAGAUGUUGCAUGACAUUUGCUUAAAAGGUGCAAUUGCAUCACUACCAGAUGGACCUGCGUUGUAUUAGCUAGUUGGUGAGGUAACGGCUCACCAAGGCAACGAUACAUAGCCGACCUGAGAGGGUGAUCGGCCACACUGGGACUGAGACACGGCCCAGACUCCUACGGGAGGCAGCAGUAGGGAAUCUUCGGCAAUGGACGGAAGUCUGACCGAGCAACGCCGCGUGAG